rnacentral:rRNA from 1 species
GGAGGGGGACAACAGAAAGAAACAACUGCUAAUACCGCAUAAAACAAUAGGACCGCAUGAUUUUAUUGUCAAAGGAGCGAUCCGCCGAAAGAUGGGCUCGCGUCUGAUUAGAUAGUUGGUGAGGUAACGGCUCACCAAGUCGACGAUCAGUAGCCGGACUGAGAGGUUGAACGGCCACAUUGGGACUGAGACACGGCCCAGACUCCUACGGGAGGCAGCAGUGGGGGAUAUUGGACAAUGGGGGAAACCCUGAUCCAGCGAUGCCGCGUGAGGGAAGAAGGUUUUCGGAUUGUAAACCUCUGUGGAGGGGGACGAUAAUGACGGUACCCCUCAAGGAAGCCACGGCUAACUACGUGCCAGCAGCCGCGGUAAUACGUAGGUGGCGAGCGUUGUCCGGAAUUACUGGGUGUAAAGGGAGUGUAGGCGGGAAAGCAAGUCAGAAGUGAAAACUAUGGGCUCAACCCAUAGCCUGCUUUUGAAACUGUUUUUCUUGAGUGAGGCAGAGGCAAGCGGAAUUCCAAGUGUAGCGGUGAAAUGCGUAGAUAUUUGGAGGAACACCAGUGGCGAAGGCGGCUUGCUGGGCCUUUACUGACGCUGAGGCUCGAAAGCGUGGGGAGCAAACAGGAUUAGAUACCCUGGUAGUCCACGCCGUAAACGAUGAUAACUAGGUGUGGGGAGCGAACCUUUCCGUGCCGGAGUAAACACAAUAAGUUAUCCACCUGGGGAGUACGGCCGCAAGGCUGAAACUCAAGGAAUUGACGGGGGCCCGCACAAGCAGUGGAGUAUGUGGUUUAAUUCGAAGCACGCGAAGAACCUUACCGGGUCUUGACAUCGAGUGAAAGGCUAGAGAUUAGUCCCUCUCUUCGGAGACACGAAGACAGGUGGUGCAUGGUUGUCGUCAGCUCGUGGUCGUGAGAUGUUGGGGUUAAGUCCCGCAACGAGCGCAACCCUUAUCAUUAGUUGCUACGCAAGAGCCACUCUAAUGAGACUGCCGUUGACAAACCGGAGAAGGUGGG